GUGAGGACUCUGACACAUCCAGAUUUUGUAAGUUGCAUAGAAUGAAUUUCACAGGACGCAUCCAAUUCAUGGACUCUUACAAGUUUGUAUCAACACCUACAGCUCUGACCUCUGGGAAUGAAGAAGAUACUUAACAAUAGUUUUGAUGGACUAGAAAAUCAACAGAGAUAAUAUCCAUAUUCGUAUUGGUAGCCCCAUUGUAUUUAGAUAGUGUGAGCCAGCAGUGUUCACUUCCACCCAAUUCAGGGACUUCCUCUAGCAAGGUAUUGCAGUUUGGAAGUGGGAACAGAAGAGACUGUGCAAUCUUCACAGGAGAACAUUGUCAUGACAAAGAGGACAAACAAGUUCAAGGCAAAAAACUAAACCAUAACCUUGGGAUUCAAGGAAAAAGUCAUCAAGCACAGAGGGAAGGCUUGGAUAACUUGGAUGUCAGAAGAUCUCCUCUCAUGUUCCCAGCUACUGUCCUAGAAACCAAUCUACCCGUUCCAUUAAGACAGACCUCUGGGCCGGCUGCGGUGGCUCACACCUGUAAUCCCAGCACUUCGGGAGGCCAAGGCGGGCAGAUCACCUGAGGUCGGGAGUUUGAGACCAGCCUGACCAACAUGGAGAAACCCCAUGUCUACUAAAAAUACAAAAAUUAGCCGGGCAUGGUGGCAGAUGCCUGUAAUCCCAGCUACUCGGGAGACUGGGGCAAGAGAAUCUCUUGAACCCGGGAGGCAGAGGUUGCAGUGAGCUGAGAUCACACCACUGCACUCCAGCCUGGGCAACAAGAGUGAAACUCCAUCUCAAAAAUAAAAUAAAAUGAAAAAAAAAAACCCUCUGGUUCUUCUGGAUCUAGACUGUGGUUGUAUGGUUGUCUGAGUAAGACCAAUGUAGGUAUGAUUCGCCUAAACAACCUACCACAAGUUAAAAAAGAGCAGCCUUUAGGCACAAAGACCCAAGUCUUAGGGAGUCUUUGAAAGGAGAAACCAAAAAAUACCUGGGUAUGUUACUUAGGAAUUAUAACAUGCCCAGGUAUUUCAUUGCCCAGUGGAAAAGCCUAGCCAUCUUGUGUCCCAGCUUCAGUUUACUCCCAUUCCCUUUAUCCCAACAAGAUUACCCCUAACCAUGCCUCCCAUUUUAGCUUCCCAGGUUGCUGCUUUCUCUCUCUCUUUCCUUAAGGUUCACAUCUGACUCUCCUCUAAAGUAUGGAUUAAGACCCACAUUAUCCCUUUGCCUGACUGAUUCUGUCGACUAUGAGACACGAUGCUAUGACAGGAAGUACUCCGGCUUGAAGUUAACUGCACUACGGGUUGAAUCCUGAAAUCCUGACUCAGUAGCAUUUUGUCUUUGCCUCCUUUGCCGAGUUUUCUAGCUUCAUAAAAAUGUCAAUUCCCCCAUCUCCCAAAGGCAGGGAAAAACUGAAAUUACAUAGAUAAUAUCAGAUGACAUAUCUAGAUGGACUUGUAGUUGGUGCUCAUUAAAUGUGAAUUCCUCACUGUUUAUAGGCACAACUUGUUUUAUUGCACCUCACCUUAUUGCGUUUUGCAGAUAUAGCAUGUUUUUUACAAACUGAAGGUUUGUGGCAGCCUUGCAUUGAGCAAGUCCAUUAGUGCCAUUUUUCCAAAACCAUGUGCUCAUUCUGUGCCUCAGUGUCAGCGUUUUUAACAAUAAAUUAUUUUUUAAUCAAGGUGUGUACUUUUCUAGAUAUAAUGCUGUUGCACACUUGAUCGACUACAGUAUAAAAUAAACAUAGUUUUCAUAUGUACUGGGAAACCAAAAAAUUGUGUGACUCUUUAUUGCAAUAUUUGCUUUAUUGCAAUAUUUGCUUUGUUGCAGUGAUCUGAAAGCAAACCUGCAGUACCCUGAGGUCUGCCUGUCAAUGCAGAGCUUACAGAUGCACCUUCUUUUGCUCUCCACUUCCUCUAUGAAAGAAAUGCAGAAUGUUUUUCUUCUAUGCCACUUACUAUGGGAAUCAGGCACUUAAUAAACACUGCUAAUCAACAGGAUGGAAGAAUUAACUAAUAAAUCCCUUCACAGAAGCAUGCCAAGUUUUACAUGAUGGCCAAUACGUGACCUCCUUGGGAGACAGGGCAAAAAACUGAAGUUUCUCUUAUUGGGGAAAGUUUCUUCACUCUUCUUCUUCUUCCUCUAGUAAUAAUAAUAUAAUUAAUUAGCAUGGAAACUUCUUUUAAAAAGCUUCCAUACACACUGAUGAGAAAAAUAAGUUUACUAGGAAUAAAGCAGGGUCCAGAAGUAUGAAAGUAUUUAUUUGAAUGGUAUCAUUCCCCACCUCAGGGAGGGUAUCUGUCAUGCAGGAUUGGUCUGGAUAAGUAAGCUAAGGGUUGAAGUGAGUUCAAAAGAGCUGAACCAGGCUGGAAACACAAACGCAAGCUGUGAACAUCACCUGGAGGAGCUCAAAGCACUUCAGUUCUGGUUCUUUCUCUAGACUUUAGAAGAACAAAGGUCACGAAAUUUAUUAUUGGCAAGACUAUAAAUGUCUAAUAAAAAUUACUUGAUUAUGAGCUUUUUUUUUAAAUUUCAGGUUUUACACAAAUACCUAAGCAGAGAGUCUUAGAUUUUUUCUUACUUUGAACAUACUCCCCCAUUUUCCUGGCAAUAUAUUUCCAUGUUUCUUCAAAAAGCCAUUCAAGAGUACUUUAAGUAACAGUUUUAAACCUCCCCCUGUUAAGAAAAUAUAUAAAAUUGCUUAAGAGAAAUGAGAUCGCUUUCUGGCUCCUGUAACAAUUGGGGAUGAUGUUUAACAGCAGAAACCCAGUGGGAGUGCUCAGUCUAAAUUCUGCACAGCCAUGUCAACAACCAAAUUCCUAAGAAUUUCUUCCUCAUUGUCCCAGUGAGGCCGCAGCAGGAUCAGCUACUGGCUGGGCUUUUUGGACACCACCCACCCCCGGCAAUUUACAGCUAGCAAAGAGCUGUAGAUGGAGUGACAGCUGCCCAUGCCAACACAGUCACACAGGACAGGGCAGCUUUCCUACACCUGACUGGGCCUCAGCCUCAUGGACAGGAGUGACAUUACAGAACGUGCAAGGUCUCCAAACAGCCCUUCUCCUCCAGGUCACAUUGUCACCUUUUUUGCUUGUGCCAAAGUCCUUCCCAGAUGUCUAUGCAACGGAAGUAAAAUUUAUACUCGUGGAGCCUUAAAAUGCUGACAUUCCAUGUUUACAGGGAUUGUUUACUCAGAAAAUUAAUCAGUUACGGUUUUAAAUUUUAAUUAAAUAAUGUUUUCCGGUGUUAUUGCAAAACAGGCAAAAGCCCAUAAAAUGUAUGUUUGACUGCUGUUGUGUGUUGUCUUUGGAUCAAGGCACAGUCUUGAGAUCAAUCAUGCAUGAUAUUUUUGUGAACUUUUAACAGGACAAACUUUCACAUAAAUUUGGUUCAUUAAAAUAUGUCCAUCAAAAUAAAAGUCAUUCUGAGAAACUCUCUGGAAUUUCCUUUUUCUUUCUAAUCGGCAACAAAUGAUUUUGUACUUGUCCUGUAAAUAAAAAUAUGGGAGGGAGGUAAGCAGACACUCAGUUGUGCAAUAGACUGCUCUUUGCCAAUGAACCAGAAGUAACUUCAUAGGAAGUUAUCCAUUCCACUCACAUAUUGGUCAAGAGAGAAUUAUUGGUUCAGUGAACAUUGGCAUGGUGAAAAUAUUUUGGUUCCA
rnacentral:lncRNA from 10 species